GUCAUUUAAGGGCUAGCCUCCAAAAGGAGAAUGUCAGGUGGAUGAAGGCUGCUCCCUGAGAAGGAUUGUUCUGUAAUCAGAGACCCUCUUGCUGGUUGGUGCUCAUUUCAGAAGGAAAUCAGGAUUCUGCCAUCAGAGAAUUUUGGGUGAAGUGCUUUUGCAAAUCUGACAACUUUAUCAAACAACACCUUCAGAAGUCAAAGGGCAGGUGAAGAAAAAGUUGCUGCUGCCAUGAUAGCCCACUGAGCCUCCCUUCAAAGACCUGCAACUUCCUAUCUCUGCUGAAGCAGGAGUAGCAGCCAAUAAGACAAAGCUGUAUUUCCUUCCUUUGGUUAUCUGUUUCUUGGAUGCUCAACGCCUGCUCUUUUUCACCCUGCAUUUGUGCAUUCCUAUCUCUGAAUAUUAAUUCUGUAUUACAAAUAAAUAAUCCCACUCUGAAUGAGUAUACCCCUGUUGGUACCUCUUGCCCUGGGGGAGAAGUAAGUCUUGUCACAAACAGGGAGCUACUGAUCUGUAUUUAAGAUGAAGCUAAGAAACAACGUGACUAUCAAUGUUGCUUGCUCCAAAAGUAAUUCCUCAAAUUUAUUUCCAGGGAAAUUAUAACAAAGAGCACAAUAACACUGCUCAACAGAAAAAAUUCUCAGCAACAAAACACCAUUUUUCAACACAGCCACCACCGUUAGGUAUACAUUUUCACCAGCAAUAAACAAGAGCUUUCAUGCCUCUCAUAAAAACCUGCACUAGUGCUAAUGACCCACUAUCACACAGCUGCUGUGAUGGCGUUGUUGCUGAAAUACAUACCCCAC
ensembl:lncRNA